GAAGUGUACUUGACCAUAACUCUCUGGACAAGUGAUAAGCAUGAAAGUUGCGUUAUAAAAUGGGUAUUCACGAUUUAAGUACUGGUAUUAAAGUGCAAUUCAUUAAUAUUAGUCACUUUUAAUUUGUACUUUGGCGAUGCCCAAAAAAAUGGAUUCCGAUUUCUGUUCCAAAAUCUACUAAUAUAUAUGUUUUUCAACCUUUCCUUUAUUUUCGCUCUAGGAAAUAUAUCCAUAUUGA